rnacentral:lncRNA from 1 species
AGACCACAGUUGACUGCAGGUAACGGAAACCGUGGAAAGUGAAACUGCAGAUAAGGGAAGACUACAGUACACCAUAGAUUUUUCCCAGACUGUAUUCCAGUUCUUGAACACAUUGAAAACAUUUCAAAUAAUAAGGAUAAAUAACACCGUGUUGAAUUGGAUUUUAUUUGCUUAUGUGGAAAUGAAUUACAUGGAAGUGUACUACAAAGAUACUUAAAGAAUGUCAAGUUUAAAAGGUGGCUGAAAAAAAUCAGUUAAAUGAAAUCAAGAUGCGCUGAUGCCAUAAAGAUGUGUAAGC